rnacentral:rRNA from 1 species
CUACGGGUUGCUGCAGGGAAGAAUAUUGUACAAUGGGGGCAACCCUGAUACAGCAACGCCGCGUGAAGGAAGAAGGCCUUCGGGUUGUAAACUUCUGUGACAGAGGACGAAGAAGAUGACGGUACUCUGAGAGGAAGCUCCGGCAAACUACGUGCCAGCAGCCGCGGUAAUACGUAGGGGGCGAGCGUUGUCCGGAAUCACUGGGCGUAAAGGGCGCGUAGGCGGCCUGUUAAGUUGAAUGUGAAAUCCCAGGGCUCAACCCUGGACGUGCAUUCAAAACUGGCGGGCUUGAGUAUGGUAGAGGAAAGUGGAAUUCCUAGUGUAGCGGUGGAAUGCGUAGAUAUUAGGAGGAACACCAGUGGCGAAGGCGACUUUCUGGGUCAAAACUGACGCUGAGGCGCGAAAGCGUGGGGAGCAAACAGGAUUAGAUACCCUGGUAGUC